rnacentral:rRNA from 1 species
GCAAAUUAUCCUCAUAAGUUAGACGAUAAGAGGAACCGUUAAUAUUUAUAUUAGCCAUAAUUUAAAUUUGUAUACGGUAGAAUAAAAUCGGAGGCCCCGACUGUUUACUAAAAACACAUCUCAGUGCAAUGAUUAAUAUCAUAGUAUACUGGGUGAAAUUUGCCCGAUGCCAUUAAUAUAAGAGAGGUAAUGGGUAACUGUUACUAAUCGAAAGUCUGGUUAAUAGCGGUCUUAACUAUGAGGAUCCAAAGGUAGCAAAAUAAAUUGGCCAUUAAAUGUGGUCCGGUAUCAAUAAUGUAACGAUGGUCUCACUGUCUCUACAACUUGCUCAGUGAAAUUGAAUUACCCGUGCAGAUGCGGGUUACCUCCAGGGGGACGGGAAGACCCUAUGCAGCUUAUA